UUGAUGAUACAGCAUACACGCGCCAGAACUGCAAAGCAUUUCGUGUGCCGUUCAUACUUAAAUGAAGAUGACACGCUAAAAAGGACCAUUUCAUUUUACACCAGCCAAACAAGACACACUAUAAAGACUCGGAAGCUCUACACAAAUGUUUUCCGCUCAAUAAUUUCACAAGUUUACAUAUUUUGUUAACAUGUGUGCUCAUCUACUUCUUCAAUGAAUGUGGAAACUUGGCUGCAACUUGCAUUCGUGCCAGUCAAACAAUACGACACGAUAGCAAGCUAACGUUACACCCAGAAUGCUCGAUAUGUUUCUGAGAACAGAAUGCUUAGCUAUAGUUAAGAUUUGAAUUUAGACAGUGUAUAUGACUUGAAUUUCUAAUACAUUUACUUUACCAAAGACAAAGUUGCUGAUGACACCACCGAUUGCAAUGACUGAUCAUGUAACGUUAUCGACCACAUUAUUUUGUGAUGCCAUGAUGAAACACAGGACCAGGUAUCACGAUGGUGUUCUGGGAACAGCUUGGCACGUGGAGGAUGAAUAUGAAUACCCCCCCACCCCCUCCAGAUAAUAUCAUUCUGCUCAUUUUUUAAGAACAGAACACUUCCAGGCUGAACUACUGGCCUCUUCCCUCCCAGCUGCAUGGGUCACCGGGCGAUGUGAUUGGUCCUUCGGCGUGCGACAUUGAGGAAUGACACGUCCGUCUGAGAGACGGAGAGCGACGGGCGAGGACGGCGGGCGGAGACUGCGCUCAUACGAUAAGAGACGGCCGAAUGUUGCCGGAACUUUCUCCUGGUUUGAUGUUCAUAAUGUGCACAGAACUAAGCUCUUUAAUAGAACCAUUCGCUUUUGAUGAUAGCUUAAUUGGCAAACGCCCCGGCAGACAUGGGUUACACUUUUGAACAGAUAAUCAUUUUUCGCUGCCGCCGUUUCUCAGACAUGGCUGGGAUCUGAUUUAUAUUUAUUCUCUCCACACCCCCUCCCCCCCAAAAUAAAAAUAAAAUGGGAUGAGAUCAUACAAAACACAUUUUAAUUUAGCUACUUACGAAUAUUCUAAAAGUCAGAUAUCAUGAUUGCGUGCCUGUGGAGUUUGCAAUAAAGAGAGAACGCUAUUAGGAACUUGUUUUACAGAUUUGAGCUUGCAGUUUGCAUUGCAAAUGAAAAUCAAUCAAAGUUUUUCUCCUGAGAGGAAAUG